UACAGAGGUCUCAAGCGUUGUUCGGAUUCAUUGGGCGUAAAGGGUGCGUAGGUGGCGUGGUAAGUCGGGUGUGAAAUUUCGGAGCUUAACUCCGAAACUGCAUUCGAUACUGCCGUGCUUGAGGACUGGAGAGGAGACUGGAAUUUACGGUGUAGCAGUGAAAUGCGUAGAGAUCGUAAGGAAGACCAGUGGCGAAGGCGGGUCUCUGGACAGUCCCUGACACUGAGGCACGAAGGCCAGGGGAGCAAACGGG
rnacentral:rRNA from 1 species